GACGAACGCUGGCGGCGUGCCUAAUACAUGCAAGUCGAGCGAACCCGGGGUGCUUGCACCCUGAGGGUUAGCGGCGGACGGGUGAGUAACACGUGGGGAACCUGCCUUGCUGUCUGGGAUAACACCGGGAAACCGGUGCUAAUACCGGAUGUCCCCUUCCCGGCACCUGCCGGAGAGGGAAAAGGCGGCUUUGAGCCGCCGCAGCAAGAGGGGCCCGCGGCGCAUUAGUUAGUGGGCAGGGUAACGGCCUCCCAAGGCGACGAUGCGUAGCCGACCUGAGAGGGUGGUGGGCCACACUGGGACUGAGACACGGCCCAGACUCCUACGGGAGGAAGCAGUAGGGAAUCAUCCGCAAUAGGCGAAAGUCUGACGGUGCAACGCCGCGUGAGUGAUGAAGGUUUUCGGAUCGUAAAGCUCUGUUGUGAGGGAAGAAUAGGAUGGGGAGGAAAUGCCCGAUCUGUGACGGUACCUCACCAGAAAGCCCCGGCUAACUACGUGCCAGCCGCCGCCGUAA
rnacentral:rRNA from 1 species